rnacentral:misc_RNA from 1 species
AAAGUAGAUUGAACGAAAAUGGCGGGAGUGAAGAGGAAAACUAAUACUGCUAACAGUAACGCGAGUGCUUCACAUGGAGCGGAAUCAGAUUCAGAUGAGACGAGUGUCUCGACAACCAGUUAUUUACAAAAUCAAAACAAAGAAGAAAGACUGCGGAUAAGAACAGGAUACCGUCAACUGAUGGGCACACUUGUUGAACAAAAACAUGACAUGAUUAACCCAGAAUCCACAAGUCUCACAGAAGCCUUGAAGACAGCCAAUGACCUCAACAAAGAUGUUAAAAUGCCGAGGGAGGGUGCGCUGGAUUCUGCAACCAUCUUGAUGAUUUCAAAUUAUGGCAGGAUGAAAGUUGACAACUUGAAGACUGACUUCCUCAAGUUUGAACCAAUUGAGUAUGCAGAAAAAUUGAUAUCUUUUGUUAACCAGGGACAGCCUCGUCAGUCACAGGACAUAGCAAUAUCAAAUCAAGGAUGGAUUAAUCUAGGGAAGGCCUCACAAAAAUUUUUCAUGAAAUCACCAGCUUUUCAUUUCAUGUAAGUGAUAGAUACAUGUACAAUGUUAUUAUUGACAUAUGCAGGUUAGAUGCUUGUACACACAUGUGUAUUGGCAGAUUUGGCAAACAUGAGUAAAAAUUUUAUUGGGAUAAAGGGCUGGAUCUUUUGAGAGGGGAGAGCCUGUGAAAAAAGUUCGACGAGCACCGGAUUCUCAGAGAUUGGACAAAGAGAAUCUGAGUGACAAAGCUACUGUACCUAAACAGAUGAAGUCAUUUGAUGAAUCAGAUAAAAGUGAAGCCACUACUGCAGAAGUAGAAAAACUGUUAGAUUUACUGCAGAAGCUUUACAGGGAGAAUGAACGAAAUCCAAUUUGUUACUUUGAGUUUGUGUUACACCCAGAGUCUUUCAGUCAAACAGUAGAGAAUAUGUUCUACACAUCUUUUCUUGUCAGGGAUGGCCUUGCAAACAUUAAAUUGGAUGAUGAGAAACUGCCAUUAAUUGAACCAAUUCAGAAUCCAGAACAGGAGAAAGUUAGGAAAAAUCUGCCCCAUAAACAAGCAGUGGUUAGCCUAUCUCCUCAGGAAUGGAAGGAAUUAGUUGAAGUAUAUAAAAUCACUGAUCCGUUAAUUCCAACCAGAGUGUGUAGCACCUUGGAUAGUUCAGCUACAAAGAAGAUGAGAAUGAAAUAGUGCUGUGGCAGUGCCCCUAUUUCUCAGUUUGGUUCUCCUCCUGAAGAUGCAAGCAGCAUAUAUCAGGAUUAUCAAGGAGACAGUGACUUGUCCCCAUGUUGAAUUAGAACAAGCAAUAGAGUGGCCAAUGUCUCUAUACUAGGACUGUCUUUUAAGGCAGUGAAUUCCCACAUGGCAGUUGCUUUGUAAAGAGGGACAUUCUGGAUUUGAAAUUCUGUCAGUGGUACAUGAACAUGCUAUGCAACUUUUAAGGAUUUUGUCCCCUUAAAAAGAGGAAGCAGUGCCUUUAUAGAUCUGCAAAGUGUGCAUGUUUAUAUGAUGAUGUUUUCUGUUCAUAUAUCACCCAUUUGUUCAUAUUUUAUAAUAACACAGUGAUA